GGGUCAGUAGGUUGGUCGUGCCACCGGUACGUACUGGUCUCACUGAUUCCUCCUUCCUGAAGAGCCGUAAUGCCAUUAAUUUGGUGUUGCGGGGAAACAGGACUGUUACUUUGAAAAAAUUAGAGUGUUUAAAGCAAGAUAACGCUUGAAUACAUUAGCAUGGAAUAAUGAAAUAGGACGAUCGAUCCUAUUUUGUUGGUUUCUAGGAUUGACGUA
rnacentral:rRNA from 1 species